rnacentral:lncRNA from 1 species
UGUGAGUGCACUUUUACCCCCAGAAACUCUGAAGAACAGUGUUAUACAGGCACAAAAUUUGUAGUGUUUUCCUAGUAGCAACGGGUACAAGAAAACACAGUCCCCUAAUACCACCCAAAGCCACAGCCUGUCAGGGGAGCCAUCAUGGAAAGUGUCAGGAGCUAAAGGUCCAGGGCAUAGCUGGUGGCCAUCUGGGAGGUCAGCUGCCCCUGGCGGUGUCAGGCAGCCCCAUGCACACCUGGCCAUGAGCCUUGGCCACUUACUCACCUCGUGUUCUGCAGCAGGUGGUGGAAGACAAACAGCUCAGAGCUGGACUCAGAACUUGGCAGAGUCCUGCUUUCAACUACAUGCAGCCAGAAAACUCUGGAAAACUGAACUGUUUAUUGGGGUCAAACUUUGGUAAGUCCGAUAAAGUCUGGCUCCAGGUGUCAAUCUAGUCUCUUGAAAGAAUUGCCCAGAAGCUCACUGCUGACUGGCUGGAUGUUACCAGUGGCAUACAGCCUCUGCUUGUGGGUGGAAUCCGGCAGCUCGGACACCGCCCCACGGUUCCUGAUGCAAGCCUGGGCAGGAGCUAGAGCUAGGGGCUUGCAGCCAAGGAGGAGAUAAGUCCAGGGGAGCCCUGCAGGCUAUCAAACCAUCUGCCAGCUGGACUCGCUCCAGGCCACUGGUGACCCUUGCCAUGACACCGGACACCAGUAGCAAGAAAGCCUGCAAUCCAGUAUGCUUCUCUUUUCCUUUCUACAGGACUCCUAGAGUGGAGCUAGCUCCCGUCCUUCCAAAUGCAGCAAUGACAUUAAGGACAUUCGUUCACAUGGUUCACAGUUGGUGUUGGGAAGUUGUCCUACCUGGACAUUGCUGUCAGAGCCAUGGACUAAAAUACUCAAUUCUGGCCUAAAUAAAGCAAGCUCUCGGUGUUAAAGACUUUUUUUUUUUUUUUUUUUUUUUUGAGAUGGAGUCUUGCUCUGUUGCCCGGGCUGGAAUGUAAUGGUGUGAUCUCAGCUUACUGCAACCUCCACCUCCCAGGUUCAAGCAAUUCUCCUGCCUCAGCCUCCUGAGUAGCUGGGAUUACAGGUGCACGCCACCAUACCUGCUAAUUUUUGUAUUAUUAGCAGAGGCGGGGUUUCACCAUGUUGGCCAGGCUGGUCUCCAACUCCUGGCUUCAAGUGAUCCACCCGCCUCAGCCUCCCAAAGUGCUGGGAUUACAGGCGUGAGCCACAGUGCCUGGCCUUUUUGAGGAUUAUUAUAAGUAAAAGAAAAUUCAGACCACGAACAUAGCAUUCCUUUAGGUGUUUUGCAUAGAUAUAGUUUUUUGCUUUACUGUGGGUCCACUGGGAAAAGGUUUGUGGAAAUCUGAGCAGCUGAUGUUUGUGUGCUCAGAUUCUUUGGGACCUAUCUAUAAGACUUGGCGAGGCAAUACGGCUUCCACCAUUUCCCCAGGGAAAAAGUUACUCAAGGUUACUGAACUCAUGAAACCAUGUGGAUUUCCAGCAUGUGUUAUUAUAAUCUCACUAACCUUCCGAUUUUAAAACGCUGUAACUCUGUAAUUUUUUUCUGUGGUCAGCCCUUCCCAAAGGUAUCCACCUUCCAGUUUGUCCUGUGGAGCACGCUCUUGGCAGAGUUUGGCAUUGUUUGUUAUCAGGGGGUUUGAUUUAUGUAAAAUUGCAUUAAAUCACUAAUAAGGAAGACUUUGUUUAAUUUGUAUUUUUGGAGGGAAAGAAAUAUUUUAUGGUAUAACCAUCAUAAAUCU